GCAAUGCCGCGUGAGUGAAGAAGGCCUAUCGGGUUGUAAAGCUCUUUUGUCAGGGAAGAAACGGUGAGGGCUAAUAUCCUUUGCUAAUGACGGUACCUGAAGAAUAAGCACCGGCUAACUACGUGCCAGCAGCCGCGGUAAUACGUAGGGUGCAAGCGUUAAUCGGAAUUACUGGGCGUAAAGCGUGCGCAGGCGGUUAUGUAAGUCAGAUGUGAAAUCCCCGGGCUCAACCUGGGAAUGGCAUUUGAGACUGCAUGGCUAGAGUGUGUCAGAGGGGGGUAGAAUUCCACGUGUAGCAGUGAAAUGCGUAGAGAUGUGGAGGAAUACCGAUGGCGAAGGCAGCCCCCUGGGAUAACACUGACGCUCAUGCACGAAAGCGUGGGGAGCAAACAGGAUUAGAUACCCUGGUAGUCCACGCCCUAAACGAUGUCUACUAGUUGUCGGGACUUAAUUGUCUUGGUAACGCAGCUAACGCGUGAAGUAGACCGCCUGGGGAGUACGGUCGCAAGAUUAAAACUCAAAGGAAUUGACGGGGACCCGCACAAGCGGUGGAUGAUGUGGAUUAAUUCGAUGCAACGCGAAAAACCUUACCUACCCUUGACAUGUACGGAACCUCUGA
rnacentral:rRNA from 1 species